rnacentral:ncRNA from 2 species
UCACGGGUAACGGGCGGUUACCGUCGGACUGCCGGAGAAGGCGCCUGAGAGAUAGCGACUAUAUCCACGGGUAGCAGCAGGCGCGAAACUUUCCCACUCGAGACUUUCGGAGGAGGUAAUGACCAGUUCCAUUGGUGCCUUUUGGUACUGUGGAUAGGGGUACGGUUUUCCACCGUACCGAAACCUAGCAGAGGGCCAGUCUGGUGCCAGCAGCUGCGGUAAUUCCAGCUCUGCGAGUUUGCUCCCAUAUUGUUGCAGUUAAAACGCCCGUAGUCUGAAUUGGCCAGCAAUGGUCGUACGUAUUUUUACGUUCACUGUGAACAAAUCAGGACGCUUAGAGUAUGGCCACAUGAAUGACUCAGCGCAGUAUGAAGUCUUUGUUUUCUUCCGAAAACAAGCUCAAUGAGAGCCAUCGGGGGUAGAUCUAUCUCAUGACGAGUGGUGGAAUACUUUGACUCAUGAGAGAGAAGCUGAGGCGAAGGCGUCUACCUAGAGGGUUUCUGUCGAUCAAGGGCGAGAGUAGGAGUAUCCAACAGGAUUAGAGACCCUGGUAGUUCCUACCUUAAACGAUGCCGACAGGAGUUUGUCAUUUGUUAAUGGCAGAAUCUUUGGAGAAAUCAUAGUUCUUGGGCUCUGGGGGAACUACGACCGCAAGGCUGAAACUUGAAGGAAUUGACGGAAGGGCACACCAGGGGUGGAGCCUGUGGCUUAAUUUGAAUCAACACGGGGAAACUUACCAGGACCAGAUGUUUUUUAUGACUGACAGGCUUCGGGUCUUUCAGGAUAUUGUUUUUGGUGGUGCAUGGCCGUUGGUGGUGCGUGGGUUGACCUGUCUAGCGUUGAUUCAGCUAACGAGCGAGAUUAUCGCCAAUUAUUUACUUUGCCGAAGUCCUUCGGUUAAAGUUCUAAUUGGGACUCCCUGCGAUUUUAGCAGGUGAAGAGGGUAGCAAUAACAGGUCCGUG